rnacentral:rRNA from 1 species
GAUGAACGCUGGCGGCGUGCCUAAUACAUGCACGUCGAGCGAACAGACGAGGAGCUUGCUCCUCUGACGUUAGCGGCGGACGGGUGAGUAACACGUGGAUAACCUACCUAUCAGACUGGGAUAACUUCGGGACACCGGAGCUAAUACCGGAUAAUAUAUUGCACCGUAUGGUUCAAUAGUGAAAGACGGUUUUGCUGUCACUUCUAGAUGGAUCCGCGCCGCAUUAGCUAGUUGGUAAGGUAACAGCUUACCACGGCAACGAUGCGUAGCCGACCUGACAGGGUGAUCGGCCACACGGGAACUGAGACACGGUCCAGACUCCUACGGGAGGCAGCAGUAGGGAAUCGUCCGCAAUGGGCGAAAGCCUGACGGAGCAACGCCGCGUGAGUGAUGAAGGUCUUCGGAUCGUAAAACUCUGUUAUUAGGGAAGAACAAAUGUGUAAGUAACUAUGCACGUCUUGACGGUACCUAAUCAGAAAGCCACGGCUAACUACGUG